rnacentral:rRNA from 1 species
GACCUGCGGAAGGAUCAUUAAAGAGUAAGGGUGCUCAGCGCCCGACCUCCAACCCUUUGUUGUUAAAACUACCUUGUUGCUUUGGCGGGACCGCUCGGUUCCGAGCCGCUGGGGAUUCGUCCCAGGCGAGUGCCCGCCAGAGUUAAACCAAACUCUUGUUAUUAAACCGGUCGUCUGAGUUAAAAUUUUGAAUAAAUCAAAACUUUCAACAACGGAUCUCUUGGUUCUCGCAUCGAUGAAGAACGCAGCGAAAUGCGAUAAGUAAUGUGAAUUGCAGAAUUCAGUGAAUCAUCGAAUCUUUGAACGCACAUUGCGCCCCUUGGUAUUCCGAGGGGCAUGCCUGUUCGAGCGUCAUUACACCACUCAAGCUAUGCUUGGUAUUGGGUGCCGUCCUUAGUUGGGCGCGCCUUAAAGACCUCGGCGAGGCCACUCCGGCUUUAGGCGUAGUAGAAUUUAUUCGAACGUCUGUCAAAGGAGAGGAACUCUGCCGAUUGAAACCUUUAUUUUUCUAGGUUGACCUCGGAUCAGGUAGGGAUACCCGCUGAACUUAAGCAUAUCAA